GCAUCGAUGGUUUAGUGGUAGAAUGCUCGCCUCCCACGCGGGCGGCCCGGGUUCGAUUCCCGGUCGAUGCA
rnacentral:tRNA from 1 species